AUGGCAAGAGGGGCUCUAGAAAUUCUCCUGACGACGUCAUGUUGGGGCAGGGGGAGUGCCCAGAGAGGCAGGAGGCAGGCGGCACACUGUGCAGCCUCGACGGAACAGAAGGUCCAGACCCACAGGCUGUGCCGUGAGACACAAGCCAGGAAGCAGCCGUGCGGAUUCAGGGUCGGUGCGGCCCCAGCGGAGGGCGUCCCCCACCCACUGCGGGGAAUCUGGGGUCUGGGGUCAGAGCCACCCUCCCCAGAAGAGCACUUCUCUUUCUCUGUGAGAGCAACCAGCCUGGAUUCCCAGAGAAGCAGGAGGAAAAUGUGGAGACGCUCUCUGUGCAAACUCACCUACGGAAAGACCCCAGCUCCUGCCAUGUCCUGCCUCCCACAUAGUGACCUGUGUUCAGAUGCCCCACCUGGUCGGCUGUUCCUCCUCUGGAAGGGGCAGAAUAUUCUGGAGUCGUCUGUCUCCCAAUGCCAUGCUGUCCGCCCUUCCCUUGCUAAGAGCCUGGCUCUGGUCAGGGUCAAACGAGCCGGAUUUUGA
rnacentral:lncRNA from 1 species